ACAAUGGGUUAAAUUAAUGGCCCCCUAGCACCGCGAGAUGUUAGUGAAAACUCAUCAAAUUGCUGGAACUCCCUAAAGCCUUUAUACCAAAGCGAAAUUAGAAAUGAUAAGCGCGGCUGUGCGAGAGCAGAAAAAAGUUAAAGGAUUGAUUGGAAGCCGCAAGGGAUCUAAUCUUUACAAUGGGCAAUCAGCAGCCAAGCUCCGCAUAAAAGGAGAAGGUUCAACGAACAGAGGGUGAGUAUCUUUAACCGACUUGACCAUAAACGGAUUGACUUUGAUAAUGGAUUUAUCAUCUGAUUUAAUAGUGAUCUGUAUGGCAAGUUUAACAGGUGUUGUCUAUCAGAUUAAAAAUCUUAAAAACGACAGGUUAAAGAUAAUGGUAUGUUCUAGCCCCUACUGAAAGGAUGGG
rfam:Planktothrix tepida PCC 9214 isolate BBR_PRJEB10993 genome assembly, scaffold: BBR_B_PL9214_scaffold56